rnacentral:snRNA from 1 species
AAGAAACGAUAUGUAUGAGAAACA